rnacentral:tRNA from 1 species
UGGGUUGUGGCUCAGAGGUAGAGUGCUUGCCUAGCAUGCGUGAGGUACUGGGUUUGAUACUCAGCACCACUUAA